ensembl:lncRNA USP2-AS1 USP2 antisense RNA 1
ACGCGCGUGCAUGUGUGCACGUGUGGGAAUUGGCAGCAGUAGGAGCUCUCUGCUCACCUAGGUACAACCUCAGCCUUGGAUACCCCUGUCUUCAGCUCACCCAGGCAGAUCUCUGUCCUUUAAGCCUCCCAGAAGGUAUUGGAGGAAGGGGCAGACCUGAGGCAAGUGACUCCAAGCCUGAAAUCUUUGUCAGCCAAAUCCUACAGGAGUGUAGUGGUGUGAUCACAGCUCACUGCAGCCUCCACCUCCUGGGCUCAAGUGAUCCUCCCAUCUCAGCCCACCAAGCAGCUGGGAUCACAGGCCAAGUUCCCACCUGGUGGGAAGCACUGUGCAGGUUCGUGGGGAUGCAGCCCUGCACAGCCCAGACUGGACUCCUUCCCCAUGGAACUCACAACACACGGGAGAGGCAGAGAGAUCCAAGCGCACAGAAAAACACAAGAAGAUUCAGCCCUGUCAUCUUGUGCAAAUCCUCACUGUCCCCAGAAGGAAGAGAGGCACACAGCGCUCCCCAGCCGCUGGAAUCCAGGAAGAAUUGAGGUGCUCAAGACCCACCACCUCUUUGCCUGCAAACUCUAAGCUCACUGUCCUGCUCCCUUGCUCCCAGAAGUGGCACUGGAUGGAUCCCAUCCAGGUCAGCCCAGGCUGUCAUUUCCUCCCCUUCUGUACCUAAUCUCAGCGAGAUGAAGAGUUUACACCUGUUUCUCACUUGAAUUAGGGAAGUCUAGUUUGCAUUCUCCUGACUGGAUGGGCCUGCAUUGAAUCUUUCAUCUCAUUGGUCUGGGGAUUUGGUUCUGAAGACCAAUGCCUUCCAGAAUCUUCCUGUCUCUCCCCAAAUUCUGGGCGGUUCUGUUUCCAGCACUCAUCCAUGAUGGGGGGGUACAGGAAAUGAGUGUUGAGGGAAAGGCAUCCCACCUUCUCUCUGUUCCAUCUUCCAGAUCUGACAACUCACUGGAAAGUUCUUCUCUGUGUCCCUGUCCCCCGUCUGGUUCUGAGGCCGCUGCUUUCCCCAGCCUUGGUGCCUUGGGUUUUCUGCUCUGUGAAAUGAACCAGGUCCCUUAUCCUGUUCUCCCCUGAAGAAAAGAGGGUGUGGGGGGCUUGGCACAGGAAAUGGCCCUUGCCUUUCACAGGCUUUGGGGUCUGAGGGCAGCUCUGAUGCCCCAGCAUGCUUUUCCAACCCAACAACUGGGGAGACCCGCUUGCCAUUUUACCACCCAGUAUCUGAAAUUAGCAGCCGCCUAAUCUCUCUCUGCCAUAUCACUCAAUGGUUUAAUUGUGCAGAAAAAAAUGUAUUAAAAUGCAAAGCACUCAGUUGUA